UACGUAGGGGGCAAGCGUUGUCCGGAAUUAUUGGGCGUAAAGAGCGCGUAGGCGGUCCGGUAAGUCGGGGGUGAAAGCCUGUGGCUCAACCACAGAAUUGCCUUCUAUACUGCAUGGCUUGAGACCGGAAGAGGUUAGUGGAGCUGCGAGUGUAGAGGUGAAAUUCGUAGAUAUUCGCAAGAACACCAGUGGCGAAGGCGGCUGACUGGUCCGGUUCUGACGCUGAGGCGCGAAAGCGUGGGGAGCAAACAGG
rnacentral:rRNA from 1 species